CACACAGACACACACACACAGACAGACACACACAGACAGACACACAGACACACACACACACACAUACACUCACACACAGGGAAAAAGAGAGAAAAAUUAAAACUGAAUCCAUGCAGUUUAGACAGUGCUUUGGAACCAGAGACCCACAAGUGUAUUUUGAAUAAACAAAUAAGUCUUGUCCCGCCUAACAAUUUCUCUCAGUCUGUUUAAAGUCUCGAGGCAAAUGGCAACACCGAGUAAUGACAGCUACUUUUUAUUAUUAUUUUGCCUGAAGUGAACCUACGAUACUCUAAGUCCUGGAAGGAGCUACGUGUCUUGAGGCCACGUGGAAGGGUGAUUUCAUUAUCUGUUAAAUGAAAUGUGUUUUCCAAAGUUGUCACUGAGGGCUCCUAAGAUGAUUCUAAUCACACAGACGUGGAAACAGCACCGAUUCCCAGAAGGGUCGGAUCGCCAUGAUGAUCAUCUAAUUAAACAGAUGGUUUGAUGACACCCCCCUCCCCAACACCAUAUACAAAGCACAAAGCCUCCCCUGUGUCACACUCCCCUCCCCCUAAAUUAGAGUAAUGACUUCAACUUGGGUGAGAGAAUGGUGGGGAACCCCCCAUCAAGCAGUAAGGAUGAAAUUAAUGCCACUAAUUGGGGACUUCUGUUCUGGUGUGGCACGUACUGGAUCUGGAUAGAUCUCUGUCAGGGCUGAGGUCAAGUGCUGCCUAUGGACAUGCCAGGAACAGAGGGCGAGCUGGGAUCCCUAUGGAUCAGCAACUGAGGGUAACAUUUCCAUGAGGACUGAAGGUGGUUUAUCUAUUAAACGUCAAGGGGAACGCCAUUACUAGACACACAUAAAGGUAGCUAGAUACUAAGAAACAAAGUCAAUUCUCAAAAUAAAACCCCCAAAUUAUAGAGUAUGCUAUUUUUUCCCUGUAGGACCUGUAGCUGGGCAUGGAUUAGUUCCCAAACGGAUGUGCAUCCUGUCAGGAGGAUGGCGGCUCCGUCAGGAAUGAGAUCUGUAAUUAACAUGCUCCCCGAUACCGGAUUCCCAGACCAGCUUGCUUGGCCUUGGCUUCUCACCCACUUCCUUCCACACAGAGGGAAAAUGGUAGCAACCAACUCCCCCGUGGCGUCCGCGCCAUGAACAAGUCCGAGAUAUCGGGAAAUGAAAGACAAGACGUCCAACCGUUUGUGUUA